rnacentral:rRNA from 1 species
AUGCUAGCAAAGCCGCCGGAGACCAUAUCUGCAUCACUCGCAGUUGGGGCGCACUUCGGCCGCGCCCCUCGACGCCCUUGGCCGCAAGGCACCACCACCAACAGCAGCAGCACUGCUGCACCUCCACGCGCCGGAACCGGCCGCCGGUGCACCGGCCGAGCUCCACGCCGCCCCUGCACGCGCAGGCCCUGCAUGGCCCAGAUCGGGCCCGCAGCACCGCCGCGCGCGCCGCGCGCCGUGCCCUGCACUGCUGCCACCCCACGCUACACCGGAGAACCACGAAUCAGGAGCCACCUCGCUAGAGCCCGCCGGAGCGCCGCCCGAGACCAGUCGCCACCGCCACGCAGAUCCAGAGCAAGUUAA